GGUGACAGGUGGUGCAUGGUUGUCGUCAGCUCGUGUCGUGAGAUGUUGGUUAAGUCCCGCAACGAGCGCAACCCCUAUUGUUAGUUGCCAUCAUUCAGUUGGGCACUCUAGCGAGACUGCCGGUAAUAAACCGGAGGAAGGUGGGGAUGACGUCAAAUCAUCAUGCCCCUUAUGACCUGGGCUACACACGUGCUACAAUGGUUGGUACAACGAGUUGCGAGUCGGUGACGGCGAGCUAAUCUCUUAAAGCCAAUCUCAGUUCGGAUUGUAGGCUGCAACUCGCCUACAUGAAGUCGGAAUCGCUAGUAAUCGCGGAUCAGCACGCCGCGGUGAAUACGUUCCCGGGCCUU
rnacentral:rRNA from 1 species